CAGAGAGGAGCAAGCCCUCAAAUGCCUGAAGAUAAAGAAAAGUACUUAGAUAUUGCCCGGCCACACAUGCCAGACCCUGGGAAUUCAAAGACCAAAAUGAAGGAAACAGCCCCUGCUUCCAAGGAGCUAUCAUUUCAGUGAAGAGAGG